UUCAAAAUGUAUAAAAGUGUUAAUAGCUACAAUAUUAUGUGUUAUUUAAUCACAAAAUAUGCUUAAUAUUAUAGGGCUGAUGCCAAGAUGACUUUUUUAAACGUGAUAUGCAAUCAAGAAGUAUCUACCUAUAUAGCGUAUAGAGUGGGUUUUAAUUGCAAAUGUUAGAUGUAGUAUUUUGAGAAAAAAUAGAAAAUAAGAGUCAAUUCAGCACCUGCUACGUAGAAAAAGUAAACUCAUACAAUAUGCUGAGUGAGUGUGAUUCUUUUAACACGUGUAAAUGUGGAUUACAAUUCAGUAUUUAUUUACAAUCACCUACUUUUUAAUUUCUAUUACCUAUGGUCGAGUCGUCACCGAGUCGUAUUUAGCUCCAGGCGGUAGCGCCGACCACGGGUCAUUAUGAUAGACGACCCGCACCGACGGCACCGACCCACGUACUGAAUUAAUGUCCCCGGGGACGGUCGAGUACAACUACCGAACGCCGACAGCGUGACUACACACCGAAAAUAGUCAUACCUCACAAGCAUACAUAAGGUCACUUGCAAGUCCUGGUGCUGGGUUACACGGGUGGGUGACCGCUCUCCCUUGCUACUUUUCACGAGACGUCUCCGUCAAAGAUUGGACGUGAUUCGUGGAGUCGUGCUAAUCCACCCCUGCAAACUUAGGGGGUGUGAAAUACCGGCUCUCCGUAGUGUCUAACGAGUCUCUACGAGGUCCCGGGGAUACGGUUUUCACACGUCGCUGACACUGGAACGCAAGACGGAUAUUACCACCUCACGAUUUAUAUGGACCGAGUUCAAAGGUUUUAUUUUAAUUAACGAUAGGUACUGUAGAUAUAUUCCUCAAACGCAAAAAUACUCAUCCUUCCAUUUUGUUUUUGAGGCACCUACAGUCACGGUUAUAGUAAUUGCAGUGUAAACACGAUGGGACCUAUUGCUGGCUGGUGAACAUCCCUUCACGAAUGAUGCACAAUCACGUUUGGCAGUGUCAAGAGUUUAAACUUUGAAAUUGGGGAGGGAUCAUCGCGUAUUGAAAUGGAUCUACCGAGCUAUCAAACUACCAAAUAAGGGUGUAUACCUUAGUCUACAAUAGAGUAUAUAAUAAUCGUGAAGUAAAAAGGGCAAAAUAGCAAAAUGAUAAAAAUGGUGAAAUUCAAAGCAAAUACCAUUUAGGGCGGAUUAAUGAAAAAUAAGAGAUACAUUGCUGUGAUAAUGAUGUGCACUUCAAUUUCUUAUAGGAAAAGUAUGCUUAAACAAAUUAUAUGUAAUUAUUGCAAAAAAAGUGACAGAUAAUAUUUGAGUCGAGUAUCAAAAAAUUAGUUUAUUCCAUAGUUUUAUAUCCUACAAUUUACAAGACCAUUAAAAUCGUACGUCAAACUAAAAUGGGACUUCAACCAUCGGAUUCGUAAAAAUAAAUGGUUUUUCCGUCAUUAUUGAUCUGAAAAGUAAUCAUACUGUAUACCAGAUGCCAAUCAUCUAAUGAGAUGAUGAAUUAUUGCAAUAAUAUUUGACCGAAACGGCGGGUUGAAAACUGCGUGAAAGGAGGAAAAAAUUUUCUAACUGAUUUUACUCCAUUUUCACGCUGCAUUAGAUAUUGUUGAUUUAAUCAAUUCAGUAUAGAGAUAUCUAUUGGACCGUUUAUAGAAACUGAACCGAAGAAUAAUUAAUUUCUGUAAAUUAUGUAAAUAUUAACUCAUUUCAAAUUCUAAUAUUAAUAAUUGCAUACAUUUUUAAUACAUCUGAAAUAUGAAGACUUAAGGUAGUAAAUGGAACCAACUACUAGAUGGUGGGUAGACUACGAGAUGGUUUAUAGGAAGAAAUAUUGUUAACAAUUUGUUAAUUGUUAUGGUAGGUAAAAUGACAGAGGACAUUGAAUUGGAGAAACACCAGGAGCACAAUAAAUUAAGCGUAACAUUAUCAAAUGUAAAUUUUACAGUAUAUAGGCCACAAGUCAUUCUCAAGACAAAAUAUGAUAAUAGAAGAUUGAAAAUACCGAAAGAUGAAAUUUCCCGUUGACAGAAAAAAAAUCAAUUGAAGGAUCGUGUAUACAAAAGAAAAAUUAACAAUUUACAAUCCGUCAUGAGGUUAAGUAUGAAGAAUUACUUCAAUAUUCAUACGUACAAUUUAAUCCUCAUCUUU